GUGGGGAAUAUUGGGCAAUGGGGGAAACCCUGACCCAGCAACGCCGCGUGAAGGAAGAAGGCUUUCGGGUUGUAAACUUCUUUUACCAGGGAAAAACACAAUGAUGGUACCUGGAGAAAAAGCUACGGCUAACUACGUGCCAGCAGCCGCGGUAAUACGUAGGUGGCAAGCGUUGUCCGGAAUUACUGGGUGUAAAGGGCGUGUAGGCGGAACUACAAGUCAGGGGUGAAAACUAUGGGAUUAACCCAGAGCCUGCCUUUGAAACUGUAGUCCUUGAGUGCUGGAGAGGCAAUUGGAAUUCCUAGUGUAGCGGUGAAAUGCGUAGAUAUUAGGAGGAACACCAGUGGCGAAGGCGAAUUGCUGGACAGUAACUGACGCUGAGGCGCGAAAGCGUGGGGAGCAAACAGGAUUAGAUACCCCUGUAGUCC
rnacentral:rRNA from 1 species